UCCCUUUCCCAUUCUACCCUCUUUUCUUCUUUUCCAAGGCUCCUAAAUCUAUAAAUAGGGAGGUCUACCUCAUGUAUUCACAAGUUGAAAUUUGAGUAAAGUUACUAUAAUUAGAGUGUGUGAGCAUUGUCUCCCUAAACCUUUGUCUUAUCUUGUGAGAAAUUGAGAGCUCUCAAGUGGCGGCAUUUACACUUAUCUUAGAGCAAAU
rnacentral:lncRNA from 1 species